CUGAACAUUUCCGCACGUUCUGUUCUCAUCCACAGAUUGUGUGCAGGAUGAACCUUUUGAUUUGGGAAUAUCCGAUGUAAUUCAGCUUCGCACCGGCACAGUGAGGUUGUGGACAUUGCCAGGGAAAAGGCAGACUGAAACACUCUGUGAGUGGAAGAACAAAGAUAAACAUGGUGUGACGGAUCAUUAAUGCCUGCAAGUAUGUGGGACAGAAGGUGGCCGCUCUGUGUGGGGGGAAAGGAGACGAUGGAGUGCCAUCGACAAAGUCUGCAGCUUCAGUCAAUCGGACUAAGUGCACGAAUGUAAAUGAUGGGAAAUCUGAAACCAAGUCUGCCCACAAGGACACACCACGGCGUGACCUGCAGUGUGGACCCUGAGGGUAAGGAGGCACUGGGGGUAAGGGGGCCUCGUCUUCUGCCCCUUCCUCAGUGUGCCCAGAAACUCAGCUCUCCGUCAAACAACCAACCAACCAACCUUUGCUUCGGGACCAGGAUCCAUGAAGACUUGUUCACAACCUCUCAAUGAAGAAAUGAACUUGUCUGAAAAUACUUUGCCUGUGCCACUGAAACAAAAGCAAAAGCAAGGAUUAUGUCCUAAAUUAAACACUUCCCUAUAUCCUGAAAAUCAUCACCAGUAACACCAAUAAACUGCUUUAAAUUCCUA